rnacentral:rRNA from 1 species
GACGGAGGAUGCAAGCGUUAUCCGGAAUUAUUGGGCGUAAAGCGUCCGCAGGUGGCUAUUCAAGUCUGCUGUCAAAGCGCAGAGCUUAACUCUGUACAGGCGGUGGAAACUGAAGAGCUAGAGUAUGGUAGGGGUAAAGGGAAUUUCCAGUGGAGCGGUGAAAUGCGUAGAGAUUGGAAAGAACACCAAUGGCGAAAGCACUUUACUGGGCUAUCACUGACACUGAGAGACGAAAGCUAGGGUAGCAAAUGGG